rnacentral:rRNA from 1 species
GUAGGGAAUAUUGGGCAAUGGAGGCAACUCUGACCCAGCCAUGCCGCGUGCAGGAUGACGGCCCUCUGGGUUGUAAACUGCUUUUAUACGGGAAGAAAAAAUACUACGUGUAGUAUACUGACGGUACCGUAAGAAUAAGGAUCGGCUAACUCCGUGCCAGCAGCCGCGGUAAUACGGAGGAUCCAAGCGUUGUCCGGAUUUAUUGGGUUUAAAGGGUGCGUAGGCGGAUCUUUAAGUCAGUGGUGAAAGCCUGCAGCUUAACUGUAGAAUUGCCAUUGAAACUGAAGAUCUUGAAUGUGGUUAAAGUAGGCGGAAUGUAUCAUGUAGCGGUGAAAUGCUUAGAUAUGAGACAGAACACCGAUAGCGAAGGCAGCUUGCUGAACCAUUAUUGACGCUGAGGCACGAAAGCGUGGGGAGCGAACAGGAUUAGAAACCCGGGUAGUCC